GACGAACGCUGGCGGCGUGCUUAACACAUGCAAGUCGAGCGGUAAGGCCUCUUCGGGGGUACACGAGCGGCGAACGGGUGAGUAACACGUGGGUGACCUGCCCUCAGCUUUGGGAUAAGCCUGGGAAACUGGGUCUAAUACCGGAUGGUCACGGUCUGCUGCAUGGUGGGUUGUGGAAAGUUUUUUCGGCUGGGGAUGGGCCCGCGGCCUAUCAGCUUGUUGGUGGGGUGAUGGCCUACCAAGGCGACGACGGGUAGCCGGCCUGAGAGGGCGACCGGUCACACUGGGACUGAGACACGGCCCAGACUCCUACGGGAGGCAGCAGUGGGGAAUAUUGCGCAAUGGGCGGAAGCCUGACGCAGCGACGCCGCGUGGGGGAUGACGGCCUUCGGGUUGUAAACCUCUUUCGGCCUUGACGAAGCCUCCUUUGGGGGUGACGGUAGGGGUAGAAGAAGCACCGGCCAACUACGUGCCAGCCGCCGCCGUAAAAC
rnacentral:rRNA from 1 species